rnacentral:lncRNA from 1 species
GUCAUGCCACACGUCAUGCCACACCCCAUGCCACACCACAUGCCACACGUCAUGCUGCACGUCAUGCCACACGUCAUGCCACACGUCAUGCCACACAUCAUGCCACAUGUAAUGCCACACCCCAUGCCACACAUAAUGCCACACCACAUGCCACACAACAUGCCACACAACAUGCUACACAACAUGCCACACAACAUGCCACACGUCAUGCCUCACAACAUGCCACACAGCAUGCCGCACGUCAUGCCUCACAACAUGCCACACAACAUGACAUAUAGAACCCUCCUCCAGCAGGCUGUGGUCCAUCUGUGGUAGCCCACUGACUCCACUCUCAAAAAAAACAAGUAGGUCAUUUUGUUAAUGACCUGGGGGGUAUUUCAAGUAGGACAUACAGACAGUAUAGGGUUUUACUAUUGACCGGGCCUCUGUAUUGAACAGACAUACAGACAGUAUAGGGUUUUACUAUUGACCGGGCCUCUGUAUUGAACAGACAUACAGACAGUAUAGGGUUUUACUAUUGACCGGACCUCUGUAUUGAACAGACAUACAGACAGUAUAGGGUUUUACUAUUGACCGGGCCUCUGUAUUGAACAGACAUACAGACAGUAUAGGGUUUUACUAUUGACCGGACCUCUGUAUUGAACAGACAUACAGACAGUAUAGGGUUUUACUAUUGACCGGGCCUCUGUAUUGAACAGACAUACAGACAGUAUAGGGUUUUACUAUUGACCGGGCCUCUGUAUUGAACAGACAUGUAUUGAACUAUCCACUUACAGUACCGUCUUAUCAAAUAUACACAAUGUUAUAUCCAUUCACCAGCAGUUUGACUGACAUUGGCCCAUAGGGGUAUAUGGUUAUUACAUAACAGCACAGAUUUAUAGUAUGCCAAUGGCCACCAUCCAGACCUGGGUUAAAAUGCUAUUUGGAAUCACUUUAAAUACUUUAGCUGUUCUUGACUGGCGCAAUGGAACCAAUAGAAGAAUCCCAGAAGUGCAAACCACGCCCACCUGGCACUCCAGGCAGGCUUAUGUAAUAGCUCAACAUAUUUGAAAGAUUGAUAGUAUGCCCACUUCCCACACAUUAUAGCAUCCUUUACUAAAUAUAGUCCUAUAUGGUAAUGAUGCAGUGGUUCCCAACCUUUUUGGAACUGUGGCACACCUUGAUAGGAUAUAACAUGUCCCUAUUGAUUUAUAUAGUGGUAAUGACCUCCAAGCCAUCUGAUCCAUACUGCAAACCAUCUAGGUUCUGGUGACAAACGGUGUUAUUAAAUAGGGUUUAUUUGAAAUAUUAUUUAUAGUUUUAAUAGUUCCUUACUCAUGAUGGUUAAUUUGUGUGUACCCAUUUUAAAAACGUCUCGCAAAAAUCUGCCCAGAAAAAAAACUCAAAUGUAGGUCCGGUAAGUAAAAUAGAUAUUUAGUUUUGAACCGCUUUGUGCUACAGACAAGUGGUUUUGUGCAUUGUAAAGGUGUAACCACGGAUACAAAGCCAUGCUCCGUUGGUUUCCAUGGCAGAGGCUGUAGUAUAACUAAGUUCAGAGCCAUAUUAAGAAAUACUGUAACUGACUUCUGGUUAAGCCUAAUCACAUUUACCUGUGCUAAUGGUUUUCACAGACGAAUCAAAAUGAUACAUAUGAUUUUGUUAACAAAUGACUGCUCUAUUUAAAAUUAUAACAAACUAAUUGCAGCAUUACCGAAAAAAAAAUGGAAGUGGCAGGUGGAAGGGGGAGAAGUGAGGAACUUGUCUGUCGGCCCUGCAUUAAAGACCAAAAUUGGUUAAAGAAAAAUUGGGAUGAAUAAAAAAAGUAUACCGGUGCAUUAGUUUACUCCAAUUAGGGGAGCGAUGAAUGAUAGGGCUAGGGUGAUCGGAGGAUAUUGGGGAUUGGAAAUGAUGCAGACAAUUACAUUGAUAGAAGGCACACUCUAUCUGCACUAGUAAAGCUCAUCUGCCUGUGCCCUCAAAUGAGACAAAUGCAUAGAGAUAGAUAGAGGACUCAUCUUCAUAUCUGUGCCAUUAUAGCGUAUGUGACAGCAUUGGCAGCGCUAUUGAGGCUACAACCCAUAGGAAUCCCCACCCAAAUGACUACGUUAAUAACUACUUUAAAAUGGUGGAAGCCCU